GACAGAGGCCUCGAGCGUUAGGCGGAGUCACUGGGCUUAAAGCGUGUGUAGGCGGAAGCGUAAGUACCUUGUGAAAUCCCACGGCUCAACCGUGGAACUGCUGGGUAUACUGCGCUUCUUGAGCCAUUUAGGGGCGAGUGGAACGGAUGGUGGAGCGGUGAAAUGCAUAGAUAUCAUCCGGAACGCCUGUGGUGAAGACGACUCGCUGGGAAUGUGCUGACGCUGAGACACGAAAGCCAGGGGAGCAAACAGG
rnacentral:rRNA from 1 species